UUUAAUUCUGAUUAUUUCCUUUCCGAUCACGAGAAAAAAAGUAUGUGCAUAACGUGCCACCGAGAGAUUUUGACCAAUUGGCUCGAAAAGUUAAAUUCAUUGGCAUUUUAAAAAAAAAUACCUUCGUGAUAAUUAGAGAUAUUUAUAACUGAUUACAGGUAUGAUUCGUUUGAAAGGCGUUAUAUAUUUUUUCUCCUUUCUUUAUUGAAAUAUGGAAUACUUUGUCGUGAUUGUAAAUGGCUUUGAUGCAGCCGCUAAGAGAUUAAAAAUAUAUUAAGUAAUGAAUUAUUGAUCUAUUUAUUAAUUGUUUAAUAUGUACAUAUAACUAUAACCAACACGUGAUCCUCUGUGUGAUUAGAGAAUGAUCUAAAAAAAUAAUUGUUUAGGUUAUAAUUGGGAAGUAGAAUGAUGCACAAGUCUUAAGUCUUUUAAAUGUUAUCAAUUGACUGC
rnacentral:lncRNA from 1 species